CGGAUCCUUUCGGGUCUGGUAAUUGGAAUGAGAACGAGUUAAACUUUUUAUCGAUGACCGAUUGGAGGGCAAGUCUGGUGCCAGCAGCCGCGGUAAUACCAGCUCCAAUAACGUAUGUUAAAGUUGUUGCAGUUAAAAAGCUCGUAGUCGUACUGUUGGUGUGUGUUGGUGUAUGCGAUGUCGAACGACAUGUGCUGCGUAAUGCAUCCUUUCGUCUAUUGUGCUAGUGCCUGGUCUUGAUUGGCUGCGGUGCUAUGGUGCGUAGACCUUUUACUGUGAGAAAAUUAGAGUGCUCAAGGCAAGCGUGACUGCGUUUGAAUAUUACAGCAUGGGAUAACAAAAUACGACUUUCGUUUGAUUUUGUUGGUUUCAUUGACCGGAAGUAAUGAUGGAUAGGGAUAGUUGGGGGUGCUAGUAUUGUGCGGCCAGAGGUGAAAUUCAUGGAUUCGCUCAAGACUAACUAAUGCGAAAGCAUUCACCAAGGAUGUGCCCUUUGAUCAAGAACGAAAGUUGAGGGAUCGAAGAUGAUCAGAUACCGUCGUAGUCUCACCCAUAAACUAUGCCGACUAGGGAUUGGCGAAACGGUUUGUACGUUCGUCASCACCUCGUGAGAAAUCAAAGUGUUUGGGCUCCGGGGGGAGUAUGGYCGCAAGGCUGAAACUUAAAG
rnacentral:rRNA from 1 species